CCUACGGGAGGCAGCAGUGAGGAAUAUUGGUCAAUGGCCGGAAGGCUGAACCAGCCAUGCCGCGUGAAGGUCAGUGCCCUAUGGGCGUUAAACUUCUUUUGUUCGGGAGCAAUAAUGGUCACGUGUGGCCAGACUAUAGUACCGUACGAAUAAGCAUCAGCUAACUCCGGGCCAGCAGCCGCGGUAAUACGGGGGAUGCAAGCGUUAUCCGGAUUUAUUGGGUUUAAAGGGUGCGUAGGCUGUGAGGUAAGUCAGCGGUGAAAUGCCCCCGCUCAACGGGGUGAAGUGCCAUUGAUACUGCCUUGCUGGAAUGAGGAUGCCGUGGGAGGAAUGGGGGGUGUAGCGGGGAAAU
rnacentral:rRNA from 1 species